GCACGAGCUGCGUGGAAUAUUAAGUGCUCCUUUCCCUAUCUGUAUACAGCACGACGCUCGCUAGCAGCAAGGCCACCGCCAAUUAUUUUGGUCGAAUCUGCUGAUUAGACAAGUUUGGCUGGCACACAAUGACAUGGAGAUGGAGAUGGAGUUUCUCCUCGCAGGUAGCCGGAUGUCCUUCCAUCGCUCCCAUCCCUCCGAGAAAUGAUGAGCAACGGAGGAGGAGGAGGUAGAAGGAGGGAGAGAGAGAGAGAGAGAGAGAGAGAGAGAGAAAAAAGAGAGCGAGAGAGAGAGAUGAUGCAUGGCAAACAUGGCUAGGAGGAGAGAAAUGGAUGGGCAAGGAAAACAACACGCUCCAAAACACAGACAAUCUGUCAGGAUUCCAUCACCGUUUCUCCGCAGCUGACUGGACAUGGACAAAUGGAGGCAACCACCUCCAUGCACACCGCAGACUGAUGGCCUUAAUGUUUACUUCAGCCAUAACAGAUAGUUAUGGCAAAGGGAUGGAUGAAUGAUGGCAUUCAAAAGUGGCUAUGUGUGUGUGUAUAUAUAGGAGGCUGUGUUGUUGCUUUGCUUGUGCCUUCUUAAUAAAAGUUCUUAAACCAAA